GGCUGGUUAGCUCAAUUGGUAAGCAUGUAGUGCUGAUAACACUGAGGUUGUGGGUUCAAUCCCCAUAUGGGCCA
rnacentral:tRNA from 1 species